rnacentral:rRNA from 1 species
GACGAACGCUGGCGGCGUGCUUAAAACAUGCAAGUCGAACGAAGAGGCGAACGGGUGAGUAACGCGUAAUCAACCGGCCAUUCAGCGGGGGACAACAGUUGAAAACGACUGCUAAGACCGCAUACUCAAGAAGGGGAUUGCGUCUUAUUAGCUAGUGGUAGGGUGAACGGCCCACCAAGGCAAGGAGCAGUAGCCGGUCUGAGGGGAUGACCGGCCACAUUGGGACUGAGACACGGUCCAGACUCCUACGGGAGGCAGCAGUGGGGAAUAUUGGCCAAUGGACGAAAGUCUGACCAAGCAAUGCCGCGUGUGUGAAGAAGGUCUUCGGAUUGUAAAGCACUUUAAGUUGGGAGGCGUUACCAACAGAAUAAGCAACGGCUAACUUCGUGCCAGCAGCCGCGGUAAUAC